rnacentral:snRNA from 1 species
GUGCUCGCUUUGGCAGCAUAUAUACUAAAAUUGGAAAGAUGCAGAGAAGAUUAGCAUGGCCCCUGCACAAGAAAUGUUCCUAAAAUAGAAGUUCUUUCUCUAAUUUGU